rnacentral:pre_miRNA from 1 species
CUUGGGGUGGGGGGUCCCUCAGCCUGGAUUGCGAGAGGGCGCAGGCCAGACCAAGAGACUCCACCAUGCACG